rfam:Triticum aestivum genome assembly, contig: Triticum_aestivum_CS42_TGACv1_scaffold_031078_1BL
UAAAUACUCCCUCCGUCCCAAAAUUUAUAUCUUAGUUUUGUCUAAAUACAGAUGUAUCUAGUUAUGUUUUGGUGUUAGAUACAUCCGUAUCAAGAAAAAUCUAAGGCAAAAUUUUUUGAACAGAGGGAGUAUAAG